UUUUCUGUGUGUUUUGUUUUGGCUCCCCUCCCAGUCCCCUGCUUCCUCCUUUAAGUGUGUGUGUGUAUGUGUGUGUGUAUUCCAGCGUGCCAGUUUAUGGGCGUCAUCAGGCCGGAAGGUGUUUCCCGUGUUGAAGCCGCCACACCUGUCUUCCAUCUAGAUUGGCCACUACUUAACUGAGCUUCAGUCAACGCUGGAUCGUUGAGUUACCGAGAACUUGGAGAGGAGUGUGUCAGAGGAGCGAAGUAUUUGUAAAUGUCGAGUGUUGGAGUUGUUUGCCUGUCACACCUGGACCACGAGCACAGUCUUGCAGGAUGGGAAAGUCCUGCAUUGGGGCCUCGUUCUCACCACGCACCUUAACAUUGUCUGAGCCUGAGCCUUUUCAACUUUCUGUUUUGCCAACUGACCCGCUACAUACAGUCUGUGCCAAAAACCAUUAACGUAAUCUAUCAAGUUCACUGGUGGUUCACCUGAUAACCACUUAUCGCACAGCACUGUCAAGGGUCCCUGAACUUUGUGGCCAAAGACCAAAUCAUUUGGGCUAAACCCAGUACUCUCCUGGCACACUUCUCACGCUGCCAACAGAAGCCACGGCAAACCUUCCUCCCAGUCACUCUUCAUUUCUGUGCAACAGGCACGUAACAAGGACUUCAGCAUUUGAUGGAAGCGCUCUAAAGCACCUUGGCUCUGUGGAUGAUAAGGAGAGGCUUUGUUAUGUGUGAUGUUCAACAGCUUGAGAACUUGUGGAAAUAGAUUUGACGAAAAGUUUGAUCCCUGGUCACUCUGAAUAAUCUUCGGUAUGCCAAAUAAUAAACACUUUGAUUGAGAAA